CAGCAGCCGCGGGAAUACGUAGGUGGCAAGCGUUGUCCGGAUUUAUUGGGCGUAAAGCGAGCGCAGGCGGUUCCUUAAGUCUGAUGUGAAAGCCCACGGCUCAACCGUGGAAGGUCAUUGGAAACUGGGGAACUUGAGUGCAGAAGAGGAGAGUGGAAUUCCAUGUGUAGCGGUGAAAUGCGUAGAUAUAUGGAGGAACACCAGUGGCGAAGGCGACUCUCUGGUCUGUAACUGACGCUGAGGCUCGAAAGCGUGGGGAGCAAAUGGGAUUAGAUACCCCAGUAGUCCCUGUCUCUUAUAC
rnacentral:rRNA from 1 species